rnacentral:rRNA from 1 species
CGGCAACAGCUCAAAUUUGAAAUCUGGCCCCUAGGGUCCGAGUUGUAAUUUGUAGAGGAUGCUUUUGGCGCGGUGCCUUCUGAGUUCCCUGGAACGGGACGCCACAGAGGGUGAGAGCCCCGUAUAGUCGGACACCAAGCCUCUGUAAAGCUCCUUCGAC